UGAUGAUGAUGAUGAUGAUGAUGAUGAUGAUGAUGAUGAUAAAGUAGGAGAGCUAACGCUAUAUCAUCAUCAUCACUGUCGUCAUCAUUUUAUUCU
rnacentral:pre_miRNA from 1 species